UUGAAGAGUUUGAUCAUGGCUCAGAUUGAACGCUGGCGGCAGGCCUAACACAUGCAAGUCGAACGGUAACAGGAAGCAGCUUGCUGCUUUGCUGACGAGUGGCGGACGGGUGAGUAAUGUCUGGGAAACUGCCCGAUGGAGGGGGAUAACUACUGGAAACGGUAGCUAAUACCGCAUAACGUCGCAAGACCAAAGAGGGGGACCUUCGGGCCUCUUGCCAUCGGAUGUGCCCAGAUGGGAUUAGCUAGUAGGUGGGGUAACGGCUCACCUAGGCGACGAUCCCUAGCUGGUCUGAGAGGAUGACCAGCCACACUGGAACUGAGACACGGUCCAGACUCCUACGGGAGGCAGCAGUGGGGAAUAUUGCACAAUGGGCGCAAGCCUGAUGCAGCCAUGCCGCGUGUAUGAAGAAGGCCUUCGGGUUGUAAAGUACUUUCAGCGGGGAGGAAGGGAGUAAAGUUAAUACCUUUGCUCAUUGACGUUACCCGCAGAAGAAGCACCGGCUAACUCCGUGCCAGCAGCCGCGGUAAUACGGAGGGUGCAAGCGUUAAUCGGAAUUACUGGGCGUAAAGCGCACGCAGGCGGUUUGUUAAGUCAGAUGUGAAAUCCCCGGGCUCAACCUGGGAACUGCAUCUGAUACUGGCAAGCUUGAGUCUCGUAGAGGGGGGUAGAAUUCCAGGUGUAGCGGUGAAAUGCGUAGAGAUCUGGAGGAAUACCGGUGGCGAAGGCGGCCCCCUGGACGAAGACUGACGCUCAGGUGCGAAAGCGUGGGGAGCAAACAGGAUUAGAUACCCUGGUAGUCCACGCCGUAAACGAUGUCGACUUGGAGGUUGUGCCCUUGAGGCGUGGCUUCCGGAGCUAACGCGUUAAGUCGACCGCCUGGGGAGUACGGCCGCAAGGUUAAAACUCAAAUGAAUUGACGGGGGCCCGCACAAGCGGUGGAGCAUGUGGUUUAAUUCGAUGCAACGCGAAGAACCUUACCUGGUCUUGACAUCCACGGAAGUUUUCAGAGAUGAGAAUGUGCCUUCGGGAACCGUGAGACAGGUGCUGCAUGGCUGUCGUCAGCUCGUGUUGUGAAAUGUUGGGUUAAGUCCCGCAACGAGCGCAACCCUUAUCCUUUGUUGCCAGCGGUCCGGCCGGGAACUCAAAGGAGACUGCCAGUGAUAAACUGGAGGAAGGUGGGGAUGACGUCAAGUCAUCAUGGCCCUUACGACCAGGGCUACACACGUGCUACAAUGGCGCAUACAAAGAGAAGCGACCUCGCGAGAGCAAGCGGACCUCAUAAAGUGCGUCGUAGUCCGGAUUGGAGUCUGCAACUCGACUCCAUGAAGUCGGAAUCGCUAGUAAUCGUGGAUCAGAAUGCCACGGUGAAUACGUUCCCGGGCCUUGUACACACCGCCCGUCACACCAUGGGAGUGGGUUGCAAAAGAAGUAGGUAGCUUAACCUUCGGGAGGGCGCUUACCACUUUGUGAUUCAUGACUGGGGUGAAGUCGUAACAAGGUAACCGUAGGGGAACCUGCGGUUGGAUCACCUCCUU
rnacentral:rRNA from 1 species